AUUGAACGCUGGCGGCAGGCCUAACACAUGCAAGUCGAGCGGAUGAAGGGAGCUUGCUCCUGGAUUCAGCGGCGGACGGGUGAGUAAUGCCUAGGAAUCUGCCUGGUAGUGGGGGAUAACGUCCGGAAACGGGCGCUAAUACCGCAUACGUCCUGAGGGAGAAAGUGGGGGAUCUUCGGACCUCACGCUAUUAGAUGAGCCUAGGUCGGAUUAGCUAGUUGGUGGGGUAAAGGCCUACCAAGGCGACGAUCCGUAACUGGUCUGAGAGGAUGAUCAGUCACACUGGAACUGAGACACGGUCCAGACUCCCACGGGAGGCAGCAGUGGGGAAUAUUGGACAAUGGGCGAAAGCCUGAUCCAGCCAUGCCGCGUGUGUGAAGAAGGUCUUCGGAUUGUAAAGCACUUUAAGUUGGGAGGAAGGGCAGUAAGUUAAUACCUUGCUGUUUUGACGUUACCAACAGAAUAAGCACCGGCUAACUUCGUG
rnacentral:rRNA from 1 species